CAACUUUCAGCAAUGGAUCUCUUGGCUCUCGCAUCGAUGAUAUGUAAUGUGAAUUGCAGAUCUACAGUGAAUCAUCGAAUCUUUGAACGCACAUUGCGCUCCUUGGUGUUCCGAGGAGCAUGCCUGUUUGAGUGUCAGUA
rnacentral:rRNA from 1 species